rnacentral:rRNA from 1 species
GACGAACGCUGGCGGCGUGCCUAAUACAUGCAAGUCGAACGCAGUGGGGACGGGUGAGUAACACGUGGGUAACCUCCCAUCAGAGGGGAUAACACUUGGAAACAGGUGCUAAACCGAAAUUGAUGGAUGGACCCGCGGUGCAUGAGCUAGUUGGUUAGGUAACGGCGCACCAAGGCCAAGAUGCAUGGACGACCGUAGAGGUGGAGCGGCCACACUGGGACUGAGACACGGCCCAUACUCCUACGGGAGGCAGCAGUAGGGAAGCGUCGGCAAUGGACGAAAGUCUGACCGAGCAGCGCCGCGUGAGUUAAGAAGGUUUUCGGAUCGUAAAACUCUGUUGUUAGAGAAGCGGUAUCUAACCAGAAAGCCACGGCUAACUACGUGCCAGCAGCCGCGGUAAUAC